rnacentral:rRNA from 1 species
AUUGAACGCUGGCGGCAGGCCUAACACAUACGAGUCGAGCGGAUGAAGGGAGCUUGCUCCUGGAUUCAGCGGCGGACGGGUGAGUAAUGCCUAGGAAUCUGCCUGGUAGUGGGGGAUAACGUCCGGAAACGGGCGCUAAUACCGCAUACGCCCUGAGGGAGAAAGUGGGGGAUCUUCGGACCUCACGCUAUCAGAUGAGCCUAGGUCGGAUUAGCUAGUUGGUGGGGUAAAGGCCUACCAAGGCGACGAUCCGUAACUGGUCUGAGAGGAUGAUCAGUCACACUGGAACUGAGACACGGUCCAGACUCCUACGGGAGGCAGCAGUGGGGAAUAUUGGACAAUGGGCGAAAGCCUGAUCCAGCCAUGCCGCGUGUGUGAAGAAGGUCUUCGGAUUGUAAAGCACUUUAAGUUGGGAGGAAGGGCAGUAAGUUAAUACCUUGCUGUUUUGACGUUACCAACAGAAUAAGCACCGGCUAACUUCGUG